rnacentral:rRNA from 1 species
UACGAAGGGGGCUAGCGUUGCUCGGAAUCACUGGGCGUAAAGGGUGCGUAGGCGGGUCUUUAAGUCAGGGGUGAAAUCCUGGAGCUCAACUCCAGAACUGCCUUUGAUACUGAAGAUCUUGAGUCCGGGAGAGGUGAGUGGAACUGCGAGUGUAGAGGUGAAAUUCGUAGAUAUUCGCAAGAACACCAGUGGCGAAGGCGGCUCACUGGCCCGGUAUUGACGCUGAGGCACGAAAGCGUGGGGAGCAAACAGG